rnacentral:rRNA from 1 species
GGUUAAGCGACUAAGCGUACACGGUGGAUGCCCUGGCAGUCAGAGGCGAUGAAGGACGUGCUAAUCUGCGAAAAGCGUCGGUAAGGUGAUAUGAACCGUUAUAACCGGCGAUGUCCGAAUGGGGAAACCCAGUGUGUUUCGACACACUAUCAUUAACUGAAUCCAUAGGUUAAUGAGGCGAACCGGGGGAACUGAAACAUCUAAGUACCCCGAGGAAAAGAAAUCAACCGAGAUUCCCCCAGUAGCGGCGAGCGAACGGGGAGGAGCCCAGAGCCUGAAUCAGUGUGUGUGUUAGUGGAAGCGUCUGGAAAGGCGCGCGAUACAGGGUGACAGCCCCGUACACAAAAAUGCACAUGCUGUGAGCUCGAUGAGUAGGGCGGGACACGUGGUAUCCUGUCUGAAUAUGGGGGGACCAUCCUCCAAGGCUAAAUACUCCUGACUGACCGAUAGUGAACCAGUACCGUGAGGGAAAGGCGAAAAGAACCCCGGCGAGGGGAGUGAAAAAGAACCUGAAACCGUGUACGUACAAGCAGUGGGAGCCCUGAUUUAUCAGGGUGACUGCGUACCUUUUGUAUAAUGGGUCAGCGACUUAUAUUCUGUAGCAAGGUUAACCGAAUAGGGGAGCCGGAGGGAAACCGAGUCUUAACUGGGCGUUAAGUUGCAGGGUAUAGACCCGAAACCCGGUGAUCUAGCCAUGGGCAGGUUGAAGGUUGGGUAACACUAACUGGAGGACCGAACCGACUAAUGUUGAAAAAUUAGCGGAUGACUUGUGGCUGGGGGUGAAAGGCCAAUCAAACCGGGAGAUAGCUGGUUCUCCCCGAAAGCUAUUUAGGUAGCGCCUCGUGAAUUCAUCUCCGGGGGUAGAGCACUGUUUCGGCAAGGGGGUCAUCCCGACUUACCAACCCGAUGCAAACUGCGAAUACCGGAGAAUGUUAUCACGGGAGACACACGGCGGGUGCUAACGUCCGUCGUGAAGAGGGAAACAACCCAGACCGCCAGCUAAGGUCCCAAAGUCAUGGUUAAGUGGGAAACGAUGUGGGAAGGCCCAGACAGCCAGGAUGUUGGCUUAGAAGCAGCCAUCAUUUAAAGAAAGCGUAAUAGCUCACUGGUCGAGUCGGCCUGCGCGGAAGAUGUAACGGGGCUAAACCAUGCACCGAAGCUGCGGCAGCGACACUGUGUGUUGUUGGGUAGGGGAGCGUUCUGUAAGCCUGCGAAGGUGUGCUGUGAGGUAUGCUGGAGGUAUCAGAAGUGCGAAUGCUGACAUAAGUAACGAUAAAGCGGGUGAAAAGCCCGCUCGCCGGAAGACCAAGGGUUCCUGUCCAACGUUAAUCGGGGCAGGGUGAGUCGACCCCUAAGGCGAGGCCGAAAGGCGUAGUCGAUGGGAAACAGGUUAAUAUUCCUGUACUUGGUGUUACUGCGAAGGGGGGACGGAGAAGGCUAUGUUGGCCGGGCGACGGUUGUCCCGGUUUAAGCGUGUAGGCUGGUUUUCCAGGCAAAUCCGGAAAAUCAAGGCUGAGGCGUGAUGACGAGGCACUACGGUGCUGAAGCGACAAAUGCCCUGCUUCCAGGAAAAGCCUCUAAGCAUCAGGUAACAUCAAAUCGUACCCCAAACCGACACAGGUGGUCAGGUAGAGAAUACCAAGGCGCUUGAGAGAACUCGGGUGAAGGAACUAGGCAAAAUGGUGCCGUAACUUCGGGAGAAGGCACGCUGAUAUGUAGGUGAAGCGACUUGCUCGUGGAGCUGAAAUCAGUCGAAGAUACCAGCUGGCUGCAACUGUUUAUUAAAAACACAGCACUGUGCAAACACGAAAGUGGACGUAUACGGUGUGACGCCUGCCCGGUGCCGGAAGGUUAAUUGAUGGGGUCAGCGCAAGCGAAGCUCUUGAUCGAAGCCCCGGUAAACGGCGGCCGUAACUAUAACGGUCCUAAGGUAGCGAAAUUCCUUGUCGGGUAAGUUCCGACCUGCACGAAUGGCGUAAUGAUGGCCAGGCUGUCUCCACCCGAGACUCAGUGAAAUUGAACUCGCUGUGAAGAUGCAGUGUACCCGCGGCAAGACGGAAAGACCCCGUGAACCUUUACUAUAGCUUGACACUGAACACUGGUCCUUGAUGUGUAGGAUAGGUGGGAGGCUUUGAAGUGUGGACGCCAGUCUGCAUGGAGCCGUCCUUGAAAUACCACCCUUUAAUGGCUGGUGUUCUAACGUGGGCCCGUAAUCCGGGUUGCGGACAGUGUCUGGUGGGUAGUUUGACUGGGGCGGUCUCCUCCUAAAGAGUAACGGAGGAGCACGAAGGUUGGCUAAUCCUGGUCGGACAUCAGGAGGUUAGUGCAAUGGCAUAAGCCAGCUUGACUGCGAGCGUGACGGCGCGAGCAGGUGCGAAAGCAGGUCAUAGUGAUCCGGUGGUUCUGAAUGGAAGGGCCAUCGCUCAACGGAUAAAAGGUACUCCGGGGAUAACAGGCUGAUACCGCCCAAGAGUUCAUAUCGACGGCGGUGUUUGGCACCUCGAUGUCGGCUCAUCACAUCCUGGGGCUGAAGUAGGUCCCAAGGGUAUGGCUGUUCGCCAUUUAAAGUGGUACGCGAGCUGGGUUUAGAACGUCGUGAGACAGUUCGGUCCCUAUCUGCCGUGGGCGCUGGAGAACUGAGGGGGGCUGCUCCUAGUACGAGAGGACCGGAGUGGACGCAUCACUGGUGUUCGGGUUGUCAUGCCAAUGGCACUGCCCGGUAGCUAAAUGCGGAAGAGAUAAGUGCUGAAAGCAUCUAAGCACGAAACUUGCCCCGAGAUGAGUUCUCCCUGAGACUUAGAGUCUCCUGAAGGAACGUUGAAGACGACGACGUUGAUAGGCCGGGUGUGUAAGCGCAGCGAUGCGUUGAGCUAACCGGUACUAAUGAACCGUGAGGCUUAACCUU